CCUUUCUGCGGCCCGGUCACACCAGGGCUCUGCAAGCACAGCUGCUGACCGUUAAUGAUGAAGAAUAUCUGUGGUUAUUACACUGAUCUGCAGAAGCUGCAACUGCUCCAGAAACUAGGUCAGCAGAGAACAAAGAUUUACUUUUCUACAGGCUGAGCUAGCUCGGAGCUAUAGUUUCCAAUAUGCUAUCCAAAAUACACUGACGUACCUUUCUGUUCCAUCGCUUACCAUUUUCCCUGAGAUGCAGAACUUGCUUCUCGCCGGUUUCCAGAGCAAAUCCCUUUCCUCACGGAGACACUGUGGAUGCUGCCGCUCCCGUCUGCAGUCCCACCCGAGUCCAUGACAUCACCCCAAUAUCACGCCGUGGAGCAGCAGUUAGGAAUGAAGGCAGCCAUCAGCAGCCUGUGCCAGCUGAGCUGCUCUCUGCAGUCAUGCAGGGGAAACAAAGCCUUGCACAGAUGUGUUGAAAAGGCAGUUUGAGAAGUUUUAUCUCUCUCGCUUGCAAGCGGAAUGUUUAUAGUGGGCGCUGAGUUCUGAAAGCAAACUUUCGUAGAAAAAAAUAGUUGGCCUUUGGUUCUGCAGUUAUGGUUCCUGUGUUCCACGGACGCUUCCAAUUGCCUGAACAACUGCCUCCCAGAGCACAGCUCCCCGUGCUGCCGGGUCAUAUCUGUGAUGGUCGCCAUUGCUUUCCUCGGUGAUCUGAGCCACACUGAGAAUUUGGGGGUAUUGGGAUCCAUAGUGGUAUUUUGGGUUCAGUGAAGCAAAUGGGUUUGCUUUGACUUCAGGAAUGCAGGAUUUCAGUUUCAGUUUGUAGCCUGCCGUAAGCCAACGCGGGGAGCACUGUGGAUGAAAUGUGCACUCAGAAGUUCAUGCCACUACGCGGCAGCAGCUUCCACACUGCGCAUCAAAUGGAGCUCUUCCGCAGCUGGUGGCUGAAUUCUCAGCUGCAGUGACGUUUUGGGAGCAGGCAGAGAUCAGUGUGGCUCAGCCAGAGUCCGAUGGGCUGGGGCCAAGAGCUGGGAUUUUGUUACAACAGCGAUGAGGCAACAGGAGCCAGGCACAGGGACCUCCUCUCACCUUCCCCGUGCCGCAGAACCUCUUCAUCCUCAUUUCUCCAAAAGCGACUUUAGGUUUCUGUAUUCCUAAUUGAUCAGUGUUCUCAUCUGAGAAGUAAAAACACAAGUCAUUUAGAAUGGCAGACUACAAAACUAGCCGGCAUGCACCCAGUUCUCCUCCUUUCUCACCUGUAACCUGUUCUGGCCUCUCUAACAUUUACACCUGGGGGCCCCCAGCACUCACCUGUGCUAAAGUUUGUGGUUCCUUGUGGCUUCUUGCUGGAGUGGGGCACUGUAUGGGUGGAAUGAAAGCAACUAUCCAGAAAAAAAGCUGUGAAGUCCCUGAAGCUCACUGGCAUGAAGUGAAGGCAGAGGCACGGGGUACACCUCGUGCAGAGCCUCCAAAGGUUAGCAUGGUGUGCAUCACAAAAGCCAUGAGAUGUCAGUAGAGCUAUCCCCAUACAUUGGGCGAGUAUGUUUUUAAUGACAAAAUUAGUUACUGGAAAACGACAAUUGCUGCAAACGACGUGAUUAUCAAAGUGUAAUAAAAACCACAACUACUUGACAUGUGAUUGCACUAUCAAAACUAAGUACUGGAAUUAGUAAUGCAUGUCAGGUCGAUAACAAGUUUAAUUCAAUCAAAACCGUGCCUAAUUGGCUGGGUCACCAACCAGAAAAAAAAAAAUAAUCCAUCUGGAGCACUCGGGGUGAAAGACUGGUGGAAUACAUAUGAAAGGAGGAAAGCAGAGUCGGUUACUCUCGCACGUCUGCUUGCUUCUCGAGACUUCGGGGGUUUGGCAGCUCGAAAUUGCUCUGGAGCGGCUCGAUACCGCCCUGAGGAGAGCGACGGUCUUGUGGAAGCUGUAAUUCUGCAGAGACGCCGCAGGGAGGUGCCACCUGCCUUCAGAAUGAGGCGGUCGGCCCCGCACCAAAUCCUCGUUUUCCUUUCAGGGUUUGAAACCGAACGGCUUUCAGCGGGGAAAUCGGGAUUUCACCAGCAUCGGGGCACAGAAGAUGUACAGCACAGAUUGUAUCUGAUCUAUUACAGAGCCACUGAACAUAGGCAAUUACACCCAAGGAUAAUAACACACGAGUGGCCUUCGUAAAAUCUCCAAAUGCAGCAGGGAGUGACACGGCAUCCUACCACGAUGCCUGCUAACAACCCGGCACUGCCAUUGCAGUUCCCUGCUCAGAGCGUGCUGUCGCCAGGGCUUCGUGCACAGCCAGGGCUCGGGAGUGAGGCCUAUAUGGCCGUACCGUGGUUGUCUCACAUGACAGAGAGCAGAUGUGUAAGCCCCAUCCUUUAGCAGAUCAAGCCCGGGGAAGGUGUCAGCCUCCCCACCUCCGAAGCUCUGGGGCUGUGGGAGACUGUCAGGCACAGCCUCAGAGGGAAUAAGGCCCUGGGUGUCUCAUGAAAACCUUGCCAGCUCUCGGUUAAGGAGAGGACUCAGGGGCAGUCUGGCUCCCCAGCCACCGCAGGAGAUGGCCUCUCCUUGGAAGACAUUUUAAGCGGCUGAAUUUUCACCACAGAACAUGCUGAUAAAGGGAUUGGAGUGGCUUACUAAAUUCAUGCUUCCUUACACCCAAGUGUGUUCUCUGCACUCUGUUCCCAGGGCAUUUUUAAGCAUUUUUUUUCUCGUUCUCUUUGAAAAAGGGUGAAUGGUGUGUGCUAACUGCAAGGAAGGUACCAGAGCCUCAGCAAAGCGCGUGCAGAGGGCACAUAAAAUACCUGAUAGGAGCAUAUGUAUAAGAGCAGAUGCUAAACAAUGACAAAUGGAACGUGGACAAGCAGAAAAACUUGGAGAGAUUAUGAAUGUGGAUAGGGCAGAAAGAACUUUAAAAGUUCUUCCCAGUAGGGUGGUCAGGCCCUGGAAGAGAUGGGCAGGGUUGCUGUGGCGUUUCCCGGAGAUACGACCUUGAGCGACCCGAUCUACUUGUGAAGCUCCACUUGGAGGAGGACACUGCACUGAGUGACCUCCGGAGACCCCUUCCAAACUCAUAUCUUCAACAGUCGUCUGGUUCAGAAAAAAAAAAAAAAGAAAAAAGAAAAAAAAAGUAUCAAGGAGAAACAAGCAAAUCAGAAGGAGAUCCCUCUGAGUAUGUGGAAGGAGAUGUGAGGCCCUGGCAGUAGGCAUUUUUGAUGGGAGCCAAAUGCAGUAAUGCUACUGCCUGGAAGUCCUGCUCUGACUCAUCCCAGGACACAUUUCUGCAAGGCACAGCAAAAAGGAGAAGUGACUGCUGAUGCCUGAACGGUGGGGGAGGGGAGCUGGCCCCAUGGAAGCUCAGAACAGGGAAUUUUAGUCUUACUCAUCAUAUUAUUUUUACAUUUGGUUUUUCAGAUGUAAACCUCAGUGUUUCUGUCAGCAUGUUAACUCUGUGAGCACCACAAAUUUGUCUGCUAGCCCCAGUGUCUCCUUUAUGCCCAUUCCCAUGUACAGACACAAAACUUCCAGCUGGGAGCUCUCUUUGACUCACUACAGCUUAUUAAUGCUUGCAAGGAUUAAAAGGAAUGCCACAGGAGUGCUGGUUAAUCUGGGCAGGUUUCAGUGUAGUACUGGAGAAAGGAGGAGAAAAAUGGGCCUGGUCUAGGAAAGACAUAGCCAGAGCCUGAUGAGUUAAAUGAGGCAGAUGAGAUGAAGAGAAUUUAUGCAAGUUCACUGACAGUCCUCCUGAAAAGGUGCCCUACCUAGUCUUAACAAAUGUAAGCAAGAAAAGGAAGGGGAACUUUGUAUAUGGCAAUGAAUGACAAAGCUCUAGGAGGUCAAGCAGAAGGUAGACUUUAGCAGAAGACCAGCAUGGGUUUCUUCCUUGCUAAGGCUUCAGACUUAAAUAAUGAGGCCACAAUCUAGUGUAUCAGUAUGUGUGUGAUACGCACUCCUUAUGUUAUAUCUAAAAGUAAUUAAUGUUGUGUUCUAAACAUGAAGGAUGUUUUUCUGAUGUCCUUCAGUGUUCAGAAAUGAAAAUCACUGUACCGUGAUUUUUUCAAUCUAACACAUUCUUCAUGUAUACAGGAUACAGCUCAAAAGGCUGUAGCUCAAUAUGGAUGUUUCAGUAUUAGUGUUGCAGACACAAAUACCAAGAUUCACACUUUUUUUCUCCUCAUAGAGUGAGGUCUGCAUCUCUUCACAAUGAGACUCUUAUUCUGAAUUCUAGUGCCAAGAUUCACACUCUCAGCUAUUGCAAGUAGUGAGACCUGUGCUGUCAGCUCCAAACUACACAGUGGUACAUAUCCUUUAAGUGGCACAGUAAUCACUUGUCAGGGCUGUAAGAUUUGUGUUUACAAUCUAAGACGUGGCAUCGAAAAAGGGUUAAAUAUCAAGGCCAUAUAAUGAAGGGGGGCACAUGGAGUGCAAAGGGAUCCCCAAAGCAGUGAUGGUGUGAUUCUGGACAAUACCCUCCACAAAGCCAUAACAGCUGGAAUUAAAUUGUCCAUCUUCUUAAAUGCAGGAGGAUCCAUUAUUAGUAUUCCCCACUCAAAUUCUAGGUUCAAGCAUUCUUGUCCACUCCAUUUUCUUCUUAUAAGGACCACAACUGCGUAGUUUUGAAGUCAGUAAUUUACAGUCUUAUUCCAGACUCUUGGUGAACUCACACAAUCUCCCUUUGGCUAAAAUACAAAACUUCACAGUAGGCAGGUACAAACAGUUCUCUAAGAAGACCAAGGAGAACAUCUCCUGCUAUGUUUGAAUUUGACAUGCUGCAUUACAGAAUUCAUUCUCCAAGGUGGAAGAAUACUUUAAGAUUAGGGUUUUUCCAUUUUUAUUUGUCUACAGUGACAGAGGCUGUAUGAAGCUGGCACUAAAGAAGGUGUCACAGAUAGCAAAGGUCAUCUGAGGUACUUAAAAGUAGGUGGGGGAAGCCCUUUUUUCCCCUCCUCUUGCUGGCAAAGAAGCCCAGGACUGGAACAAUAGUGGGAGUGCCACCGGCAGACAUUAUUACAUAGGAGGAUUCAGAACAAGAAUAGCAAAGAGAAUUGCCACUGAAGCUCAGCUGGCAUUCGCUGUUACGUAGUCAUCUGAGAAGCUUGAAGUUUUGAUUAAACAGAGCAGUUUACAUGCAACACUCAUCAUAUCAGCAAUCCAGUACAGAGAAAUGUUUUCCUGCGGCUAUGGUGCUGUAACCGGACUCCCCACAAACCAAUUUUGAGCGGGGACAUGGAAAAGGAGGCAUGGGCUAGGAUUUGGAAAGCAUUUGACAACAUGGAAAAACAGAACACAGGGGAAAUAAAGGCAUAGGGAAUGCAAAUGACCAGUUAAUCAGCUGAGGAACUAGUAAAUUAACCCAGUAUCCUGGAUUACAAACAAGACGUCAAGCAGUGGAUCACACUCUCAAAGAUCAGGGAGGCUUCAAUUUCUGUAGCACACCGAGUGUGAAACACUUAAAAAGCACUUAUCUCCCGCUAAAGGCUUUAGAAGGCCUCACUCUUCAUGAACUGCACUCUGACAAGGAUUAUUUAUUGGAGGAAUACCUGGUAGCCUUAAUGUCCAACUGAUAGUACUUGAAACCAAGUGAGAGAGAGAGCUCAAGAUGUAUGAAAAUCAAGACUUGAGGGUCUAAGAGGUGAAAAAUUGCUUUCCCUACACAUUGAAAAGCUGUGAAAAAAGAACUUAAGAAGUUCUUAAGAAGAAGUGCCAGAGUUAUUAAUACUAAUGUUGGAUAGGCCGAAAGCAGAAAUGCAAUCUCCAUAAAUGCUAAGUUAGAAAGAGGUGAGGAUGAAUAUCAGACCUCUGGAAGACAUCUG